GUUAAAAUGCAACACACACAUAAACGAACAAUAAUAUAACAAUGGCCAUCUUCCUGACUUGGUACAGGACACUUUUAAAGGGGAAUAAAAGUGGUGGGUUGAACCUGGUUUUGUGGCAUGCCAAACCUCGCACUUUAAUGGCAAAGUUAAAUAUAACAUUGAGAUGACAACAUAAUAUUACAGGACUACAAUACAAAUAAAUAGGAGAACAUAUUAGACAAAGA
rnacentral:lncRNA from 1 species